rnacentral:rRNA from 1 species
GACGAACGCUGGCGGCGUGCCUAAUACAUGCAAGUCGAACGCAGUGGGGACGGGUGAGUAACACGUGGGUAACCUCCCAUCAGAGGGGAUAACACUUGGAACCAGGUGAUAAACCGAUAAUGAUGGAUGAACCCGAGGUGCAUUAGCUAGUUGGGGGGGUAACGGCUCACCAAGGCCACGAUGCAUAGCCGACCUGAGAGGGUGAUGGGUCACACGGGGAAGGAGACAAGGCCUAGACUCCUACGGGAGGCAGCAUUAGGUAAUCUUCGGCAAUGGACGAAAGUCUGACCGAGCAACGCCGCGUGAGUGAAGAAGGUUUUCGGAUCGUAAAGCUCUGUUGUUAGAGAAGCGGUAUCUAACCAGAAAGCCACGGCUAACUACGUGCCAGCAGCCGCGGUAAUAC